AUGUCACCUCAGUCUUUCACCUUGGAGACCACCACCACCACUCCUGCUGCCAAGAGACCAAACCCUUCCUACUUCCAAUCCGCUCCAGCUUGCCAUGAGAUGAUCCAGCACAAGGAGCUUCUUCUCCACUUGUACGCCUACCAGAAUGUCCAGAAAACCCCAGAUGCUAACCAGGCAGUCAUAGUUGAGUCAAAGCGCCCCAAGUGUUUCGGAAUCCUCGCUGCUAAUGACUGGGCCGUGUACGAUGGUCCUGGCCAGAAUGCAAACCUUGUCGCGCAUGCUCAAGGUUUGCACCUCGGGGCUAGCAUGGCCAAAGAGUGCUGGUUCAUUUGCUUCAACAUGGUCUUCGUCGAUCAGAGGUUUACAGGUUCCAGUUUCAAGGUAAUGGGGGACUUUCAAGGCACUGCCCACAAUGGUGAAUGGGCAAUCGUUGGUGGGACUGGAGAGUUUGCAUAUGCACAGGGUGUCAUCGCCUUCAACAAGACCCAUCAAUCUGAGAGAAACGCCAGGAUGGAGCUUCAUGUUCGUGCUAUGUGUCUCUCCUUCUUAAGACCUCUGCUUUCUCUAGGUGACGGGAGCGCCGUCACCAAGAUCGGCCCUUGGGGUAAAAUAAGUGGGGAGUUACUCGACAUCCCCUCGACACCGCAGCGCUAG
rnacentral:rRNA from 1 species